AAGGAUCAUUACCGAGUUGUCGAAACAGGCUGCUGCUGGCUCCUUUCGGGAGCAUGUGCACGCUCGUUCGCAUCCCAUCCUUCACACUUGUGCACUACCUGUAGUUCCGAGCUGAUUAUCAGAGGUGCUUGCUCACCUCGAAAGAAAAGCUCGGUUCUAUGUCUUUUCAACGAUUCCAUAGUUCAAUAGAAUGUGUUCACGGGCGUGUACAACGUCCGAUAAUAAUAUGUAUAACUUUCAGCAACGGAUCUCUUGGCUCUC
rnacentral:misc_RNA from 1 species